UACGCUGGCGGCACGCCUUAUACAUGCAAGUCGAACGAAGUAGCAAUACUUAGUGGCAGACGGGUGAGUAACAUGUAGGUAUCUUCCCUUUGGUGAGGAAUAACACGAGGAAACUUGUGCUAAUACCUCAUAAGUCUUUACAGAGAAAGCUUUAUGCGCCGAAGGAUGAGCCUGCACUUGAUUAGUUUGUUGGUGGGGUAAUGGCCUACCAAGACUUUGAUCAAUAGCUGAUCUGAGAGGAUGAUCAGCCACAUUGGGACUGAGACACGGCCCAAACUCCUACGGGAGGCAGCAGUAGGGAAUAUUGCACAAUGGAGGAAACUCUGAUGCAGCGAUGCCGCGUGAGUGAAGAAGGCCUUUGGGUUGUAAAGCUCUUUCGUCGGGGAAGAAAAUGACUGUACCCGAAUAAGAAGGUCCGG
rnacentral:rRNA from 1 species